GCUGCCUCACAGUUCUGAGGUUCUGUGUUGGCAUCAACUCCGGCCCCGUGUGGAGUUUGCAUGUUCUCCCCGUGCUUGUGCAGGCUUCCUCCCACAUCCUUUGUGCUCACUUACAAACUUUGUGCGUGCGGUGCCUGAUUUCCCCCCCCUCUCCAAUUUACGAUUUUCUGCGUUUUCUUUUGAGCACAAAACUCUCGAGUGGGCGGGCUUUAUGGGGGAUGCGUUCCCGUUGGCUAAUUCGUUUUGAUUGACAGCUAAUGACCCGGAUGUGUUUUGUUUUUUUUCCCCUUGUCAUACUGAGCUGAGUCAGUGCCAAGAAUACAAAAUUCACAGUUCUUAAUUUCUAAUUUCUCCAGAUGGAACAUCUGAAGAUGAUGAUGCAUUCAAUGUCCCUGAAGUGAUAAAGUGGGUGACUGGACAGGAACACCAGCAUCUUCUAAAUGCAGACCGACAAACUUUUAAGAUAACUGUCUAUUUUGACCAUGAAUGUUACAAUGAAGUAACAGUACAUUGUG